AUGUUCAAGCUGGUUUUCGAAAAGGCAGAGGAACCAGAGAUCAAAUUGCCAACAUCUUUUGGAUCAUGGAAAAAGCAAGAGAGUUCCAGAAAAACAUCUAUUUCUGCUUUAUUGACUAUGCCAAAGACUUUGACUGUGUGGAUCACAAUAAACUGUGGGAAAAUUCCGAAAGAGAUGGGAAUACCAGACCACCUGACCUGCCUCUUGAGAAACCUGAAUGCAGGUCAGGAAAAAACAUUUAGAACUGGACAUGGGACAACAGACUGGUUCCAAAUAGGAAAAAGAGUACGUCAAGGCUGUAUAUUGUCACCCUGCUUAUUUAACUUCUAUGCAGAGUACAUCAUGAGAAACGCUGGGCUGGAAGAGGCACAAGCUGGAAUCAAGAUUGCCGGGAGGAAUAUCAAUAACCUCAGAUAUGCAGAUGACACCACCCUUAUGGCAGAAAGUGAAGAGGAACUAAAAAGCCUCUUGAUGAAAGUGAAAGAGGAGAGUGAAAAAGUUGGCUUAAAGCUCAACAUUCAGAAAACCGAGAUCAUGGCAUCUGGUCCCAUCACUUCAUGGCAAAUAGAUGGGGAAACAGUGGCUAAUUUUAUUUUUCUGGGCUCCAAAAUCACUGCAGAUGGUGAUUGCAGCCAUGAAAUUAAAAGACACUUGCUCCUUGGAAGGAAAGUUAUGACCAACCUAGAUAGCAUAUUCAAAAGCACUUUGCCAACAAAGGUCCAUCUAGUCAAGGCUAUGGUUUUUCCAGUAGUCAUGUAUGGGUGUGAGAGUUGGACUAUAAAGAAAGCUGAGAUCCGAAGAGUUGAUGCUUUUGAACUGUGGUGUUGGAGAAGACUCUUGAAAGUCCCUUGGACUGCAAGGAGAUCCAACCAGUCCAUCCUAAAUGAGAUCAGUCCUGGGUGUUCAUUGGAGGGACUGGUGUUGAAGCAGAAACUCCAAUACUUUGACCACCUGAUGUGGAGAGCUGACUCAUUUGAAAAGUCCCUGACCCUGGGAAAGAUUGAGGACAGGAGGAAAAGGGGACUACAGAGGAUGAGAUGGUUGGAUGACAUCACCGACUCAAUGCACAUGGGUUUGGGUGGACUCCAGGAGUUGAUGAUGUACAGGGAGCCCUGGUGUGCUGUGGUUCAUGGGAUUGCAAAGAUUCGGACACGACUGAGUUUCUGA
rnacentral:lncRNA from 1 species